UUUAUUGGAGAGUUUGAUCCUGGCUCAGGAUGAACGCUGGCGGCGUGCCUAAUACAUGCAAGUCGAGCGAAUGGAUUGAGAGCUUGCUCUUAUGAAGUUAGCGGCGGACGGGKGAGUAACACGUGGGUAACCUGCCCAUAAGACUGGGAUAACUCCGGGAAACCGGGGCUAAUACCGGAUAACAUUUUGAACCGCAUGGUUCGAAAUUGAAAGGCGGCUUCGGCUGUCACUUAUGGAUGGACCCGCGUCGCAUUAGCUAGUUGGUGAGGUAACGGCU
rnacentral:rRNA from 1 species